GAUGAACGCUAGCGGAAGGCUUAAUACAUGCAAGUCGAGCGGUAGAUGGUUUCGGCCAUUGAGAGCGGCGCACGGGUGAGUAACGCGUACAUGACCUGCCUGUCAGAAGGGGAUAGCCCUGGGAAACUGGGAUUAAUACCUUAUGGUAUUGAUAUUAUAGAUGGUAUAAAUUAAAGCUGAGGCGCUGACAGAUGGAUGUGCGUCUGAUUAGCUAGUUGGUAGGGUAACGGCCUACCAAGGCGACGAUCAGUAGGGGGCGUGAGAGCGUGGUCCCCCACACGGGUACUGAGACACGGACCCGACUCCUACGGGAGGCAGCAGUAAGGAAUAUUGGUCAAUGCCCGCAAGGGUGAACCAGCCAUUCCGCGUGGAGGAUGAAGGCCCUAUGGGUUGUAAACUUCUUUUAGAUGGGAAGAAAAUGCUAGAUUUUUCUGGUACUGACGUUACCAUCAGAAUAAGCAUCGGCUAACUCCGUGUCAGCAGCCGCAGUAAUAC
rnacentral:rRNA from 1 species